ACGGGCCCGAGGCGCACGGCCCUCUCCCGCCAGCCGGCCGGUACUGGCCGCCGUUCCACUUUGUGUAGUGCCGGGGGAGCCUGCGAGGCCCAUCUCCCGUAGGUGGACCUGGGUCCCCAGGUAGGGGUGGCAAGAAGGAGUUCGUUCUGGAGUGGCGAGCUCCUCCUCAGCAUGCUCCCCUCUUGGGAGAGAAGGGAGGUGAGAUCCGGUUUCCAGAUUCUUCUACAGUUUGUUUCCUGCUGUUCCAGAAAAGGAGGAGUAAUGGCAGAAUUCCACCAAGGUGAUGCUCUCCAUCUUGCCAGCAAGGCUGAGGCUUGUUAAGCUGCACAGAGCCUGCUGAGACUUCUCCUGUGAAGUAGUUGGUCAACAGUAACGUGACAUGCUGUUGGUCCAAUACCUGAACAGGCUGUCUAAGUCUGGAUUGUUUCUACGAAAUACAAUGUUAAAUUCAAAUGUGA